rnacentral:rRNA from 1 species
CCUACGGGAGGCAGCAGUGAGGAAUAUUGCACAAUGGGCGCGACCCUGAACCAGCCACGCCGCGUGAAGGAUGAAUGCCCUACGGGUUGUAAACUUCUUUUAUAAAGGAAUAAAGUGAGGCACGUGUGCCUUUUUGUAUGUACUUUAUGAAUAAGGCUCGGCUAACUCCGUGCAAGCAGCCGCGGUAAUACGGAGGAUCCGAGCGUUAUCCGGAUUUAUUGGGUUUAAAGGGAGCGUAGAUGGGUUGUUAAGUCAGUUGUGAAAGGUUGCGGCUCAACCGGAAAAUUGCAAUUGAUACUGGCAGCCUAGAGUACAGGUGAGGUAGGCGGAAUUCGUGGUGUAGCGGUGAAAUGCUUAGAUAUCACGAAGAACUCCGAUUGCGAAGGCAGCUUACUAAACUGCCACUGACAUUGAUGCUCGAAAGUGUGGGUAUCAAACAGGAUUAGAUACCCUGGUAGUC